ACGGGAGGCAGCAGUGGGGGAUAUUGCACAAUGGGGGAAACCCUGAUGCAGCGACGCCGCGUGAGUGAUGAAGUAUUUCGGUAUGUAAAGCUCUAUCAGCAGGAAAGAUAAUGACGGUACCUGACUAAGAAGCACCGGCUAACUACGUGCCAGCAGCCGCGGUAAUACGUAGGGGGCAAGCGUUAUCCGGAUUUACUGGGUGUAAAGGGAGCGUAGACGGCAUAGCAAGUCUGAAGUGAAAAUCCAGAGCUCAACUCUGGAACUGCUUUGGAAACUGCCAGGCUAGAGUGCAGGAGGGGCAAGCGGAAUUCCUAGUGUAGCGGUGAAAUGCGUAGAUAUUAGGAGGAACACCGGUGGCGAAGGCGGCUUGCUGGACUGUAACUGACGUUGAGGCUCGAAAGCGUGGGGAGCAAACAGGAUUAGAUACCCUGGUA
rnacentral:rRNA from 1 species